rnacentral:lncRNA from 1 species
GGCACCACACCAUCCCCCACCUGGGGAACAGGGAGCACUUAGGUUUGGAAUCCUGGGGAAGAGAAGUUCUAUUUCCGUUGGGCUGUUGAGGCCUGUGACCGGUGGUGGCCAUCUUCUUUCAUCAACGGAAAAACCACUUGAGAAGGACACCAGUACAGAGGGGAGGAAGCCAAGCCAAGAGGCUGGGAGAGCCGAUUCCUGCUGACGGCAUCAAGCACCCAGGCUGUCAGCUGUACGAGAAUGGCGACCUCUGUGUGCUUCACUCUGCUGUGCCCGGUGUCUGGAGCUGGCCCACAGGCAGUAGGGCCUCAGUGGUGUGCGCUGGGCAAGUGAACACCGCCGACCACAAGCAAGCACAUUUCUGGGAGUUCUCAGUGUUACUGGCUCACUCGCUGUUUAUGGAGCCCCGCUCUGUGCCCUGCCCCGACUUAGGCCGCAGGCACGACGUCAGUGAAGGAGACGAGAAAAUAAACUCUGCUGCCCCCAUGGAGCUGACAUCGCAGAGGGAAACAAAGAGUGAGGAGAGCACAGCAGAAACCACAGUAAAGUCUCCUGCCACAGGUCCCCUACUCCCUCUGCCUCCUGACCACCCUGGUGCUUCCCCGUGAGGCCCUGUGUGGCCCUGUGUGGCAUGCCCCCUCCUCUGGGAACUGUGAGUAACAGACUAUCUUGUCAAUGGCAUCAUCUCCUGAUCUGUUGGCCUUACUGAACCUCAAAUUUUUCAUUAAUACUUUCUGUCUUGGACCAGCCCUCAGGACACUUUGCACUUAGUGUAAACAAAUGAAGAAUAAAUGAAUGAUCUACCCUUUUACAACAUCUUCAACAAGUUUAAUAUUUUAAUAUACACUGAACUUCCUUUUCCCCACGAAAUUGGAGCCUCCAUAAGAGUGGAGGGCAUAUCAGAAAUUACACGGACAAGGCCAGACCCCUGGGAAGCCCUGAAUAUCUGUGUCCCCAGACGGAGGGCUCAGGCCAAGCGUGACGGAGUCCGAGUCUCCGCCCUCAUACUGUGACUGGCAUUUGGCUGGUUUUUCAAAUUCACCUUUUAAUCUUGUCAGUUUAGCAGGGAGCUCGUCACUUCCAAACUCAUCUUUCUAGCAAUAAUCAAGUUACAUCACGCGUGAGACGGCCUGUUCCCUGAGUUAUUUCAUGAGAAUCCACAGACAUUAGCAGGGAGUCAGCCCAGCCUACUUCAGAACAAGGGGCAUCUUUGGGAGCAGUGAGGGUGCACAGCGCGGGAGGACAGAACAAGAGGAUGCCCUGGGAGAUACCAGCCCCAGACUUAGGAGCAUCAACCUAGAGGCAUGAGAUUUCCAGAGAAGCGCCCAGAGAGGGGAGUGGGUUGGAGCUGAGCUUGGCUGUCACCUCAUGGAAAGGGGGGCUGAAAAUUUCAGACAGCUGUGGCCCUGGGAGCAGCCUGACCCAAGGGAACCACACAGAAAGUCCUCUCUGAGACUGUUGUCCUGGUCAGGACAAGGUUCAGCUGCUGUAACAAAGGCGCC